CCAGAGUAAACUAGGCGUUUCGUCUUGGUGACUGUAACCCUGGGUUAAGGAGCCAUUUGGCACCUACUGUAGCUUAUAUACAUCUCUGAGUUUCUGAUAUAUAUAAGCUACAGUAGGUGCCAAAUGGCUCCUUAAACCAGGGUUACAGUCACCAAAACGAAACUGCCUAGUUGCCAUUUU